GACGAACGCUGGCGGCGUGCUUAACACAUGCAAGUCGAGCGGUAAGGCCUUUCGGGGUACACCAGCGGCGAACGGGUGAGUAACACGUGGGUGAUCUGCCCUGCACUUCGGGAUAAGCCUGGGAAACUGGGUCUAAUACCGGAUAUGACCUCCUAUCGCAUGGUGGGUGGUGGAAAGAUUUAUCGGUGCAGGAUGGGCCCGCGGCCUAUCAGCUUGUUGGUGGGGUAAUGGCCUACCAAGGCGACGACGGGUAGCCGACCUGAGAGGGUGACCGGCCACACUGGGACUGAGACACGGCCCAGACUCCUACGGGAGGCAGCAGUGGGGAAUAUUGCACAAUGGGCGAAAGCCUGAUGCAGCGACGCCGCGUGAGGGAUGACGGCCUUCUGGUUGUAAACCUCUUUCAGCAGGGACGAAGCGUAUGUGACGGUACCUGCAGAAGAAGCACCGGCUAACUACGUG
rnacentral:rRNA from 1 species